UACGUAGGGGGCGAGCGUUGUCCGGAUUUAUUGGGCGUAAAGAGCUCGUAGGCGGCUUGGCAAGUCGGGUGUGAAAACUCCAGGCUCAACCUGGAGACGCCACCCGAUACUGCCAUGGCUAGAGUCCGGUAGGGGACCACGGAAUUCCUGGUGUAGCGGUGAAAUGCGCAGAUAUCAGGAGGAACACCAACGGGCGAAGGCAGCUCUCUGGGACGUUACUGACGCUGAGACGCGAAAGCGUGGGGAGCAAACAGG
rnacentral:rRNA from 1 species